UACGUAGGGAGCAAGCGUUGUCCGGAAUCAUUGGGCGUAAAGAGCGUGUAGGCGGCCAGAAAAGUCCGCUGUGAAAACUCGAGGCUCAACUUCGAGCUGUCGGUGGAAACUUUCUGGCUAGAGUCCGGAAGAGGAGAAUGGAAUUCCUGGUGUAGCGGUGAAAUGCGCAGAUAUCAGGAAGAACACCCGUGGCGAAGGCGGUUCUCUGGGACGGUACUGACGCUGAGACGCGAAAGCGUGGGGAGCGAACAGG
rnacentral:rRNA from 1 species